rnacentral:misc_RNA from 1 species
UUGAUUAUUUAAAUCGUUGUUCUCAGACUGUACAAUUGUCAGAAUUCGGGACUUCGGCAGGCACAAGCCAGCUGUGAGGCCGACAUCUCCCUGAAGAGAUGGCCCACCGAAGCUGCUUGACAGCUUAUAAUUAGACAAGGAUGGGAGUAGAGGGGUUUUAAGCCUCUGAACUCGGUAAUGAUCCUUCCGCAGGUUCACCUACGGAAA